rnacentral:rRNA from 1 species
CUGCUGCCUUCCGUAGGAGUUUGGGCCGUGUCUCAGUCCCAAUGUGGCCGUCCACCCUCUCAGGCCGGCUACUGAUCGUCGCUUUGGUAGGCCGUUACCCUGCCAACUGGCUAAUCAGACGCGGGCCCAUCUUAUACCACCGGAGUUUUUCACCCUGGGCCAUGCGGCCCUGGGCGCUUAUGCGGUCUUAGCACCUAUUUCUAAGUGUUAUCCCCCUGUAUAAGGCAGGUUACCCACGCGUUACUCACCCGUCCGCCACUAAAGUAAAAAA